UCUGAUAUGGUGUAGUGGCCAACAUGAUGCCCUCUCAAGGCAUAGCCCCGAGUUCGAUUCUCGGUUUCGGAA
rnacentral:tRNA from 1 species